GGGAAGGUGGCCGAGCGGUCUAAGGCGCCACGUUAAGGAGAUAUCCUUGAUUACUUCAAAACUCCUCAUCAUCCCGAUGAUGAGGAAAAUCAUGAUCCGUGGUCUCGUAAGAGGCGUGGGUUCAAAUCCCACCCUUCUCA